rnacentral:rRNA from 1 species
AACGAACGCUGGCGGCGUGGAUUAGGCAUGCAAGUCGAACGGAACUUUAGCUUUUUCGAAGUUUAGUGGCGAAAGGGUGAGUAACACGUGGGUAACCUGCCCUUGAGAUCGGGAUAACCAAUCGAAAGAUUGGCUAAUACCGGAUACGUUCUAGCAACGAAAGUUGUUGGAGGAAAGAUGGGGAUCCGCAAGGACCUAUCACUCAUGGAUGGGCCCGCGGCCUAUCAGCUAGUUGGUGAGGUAAUGGCUCACCAAGGCUAAGACGGGUAGCUGGUCUGAGAGGAUGGUCAGCCACACUGGGACUGAGACACUGCCCAGACACCUACGGGUGGCUGCAGUCGAGAAUCUUUCGCAAUGGGGGCAACCCUGACGAAGCGACGCCGCGUGCAGGAUGAAGGCCUUAGGGUUGUAAACUGCUGUCAGCUGGGAGAAAAAGUCGACGGUGAAUAAUCAUCGACUCUGACGGUACCAGCAGAGGAAGCCACGGCUAACUCU